rnacentral:lncRNA from 1 species
GAAGCAGCUCGGGGCUGCCGGGGAAGCAGCUGGACCGGCCCAGCUGUAUUUUCCCUUCCACUCUCUCCCUCCCACCCCCAGCAAGGAAAAAGGAAGAGGAGAAUCAAAAGGAAGUCCAGAGAAGGGAAGGCAGUUUUACGAGCCAGGUCUGCCAAGCCAGGCCACCCGGAGUGGGGCCGCCUGGGAGGCGCGAGGUGCCCCGAGGAAACCCCGACACGGCACAGAUCCGCCUGGGCAAGGUGGGACUCGAGCCCUUGUCCUUGCGUCAGUCUUGAUGACAUCCCCCAGGGCCUGGCCCGUGGCAGGAGCUUCCCCCCACGGCCUCCACAUCCGCAGCCCUGGACAGCAGCUGGACCUGCCUCCCCUCCCCCGCACGCCCAGCUGCUGGGGUCCAGCUCCUGGGAGCCCAGGGCCCUCCCUGAGUCAUCUCAGAGCCCCCUCCCCACCUGCAGACGCAGACCCACACUCCUACCCCACCCCCUGGGGUGCUUUACACAUCCCUUAGUCAGUGAUUAAGACAUAUUUGCUAAAUAAUAAAUGAGUGCAAACUCCCAGGUCCAGGA